CGGGCUGUAGCGUAGCCUGGUAGCGCGCUUGCAUGGGGUGCAAGAGGUCGUGAGCUUGUGCGCCUGCGGCGCAUUCGAACCCGCCAGAGGCGGGCAAGUCCGCCUGCGGCGGGCAAGUCUCACCAGCCUGA
rnacentral:tRNA from 1 species